rnacentral:rRNA from 1 species
UGACGGUACCUGACUAAGAAGCUCCGGCUAAAUACGUGCCAGCAGCCGCGGUAAUACGUAUGGAGCAAGCGUUAUCCGGAUUUACUGGGUGUAAAGGGAGCGUAGACGGUUUGCCAAGUCUGAUGUGAAAGGUGGGGGCUCAACCCCCAAACUGCAUUGGAAACUGGUAGACUAGAGUGUCGGAGAGGUAAGUGGAAUUCCUAGUGUAGCGGUGAAAUGCGUAGAUAUUAGGAGGAACACCAGUGGCGAAGGCGGCUUACUGGACGAUAACUGACGUUGAGGCUCGAAAGCGUGGGGAGCAAACAGGAUUAGAUACCCUG